UUACUUUCCAAAAGUUACGAGUUACAAAUCCUAUCUCCCUAACGUUGCGGUGGAGUGGAUCGAAGCACCAAUUCCAAUACCUCUAAAGAUGUAGUAGGAUGGAAUGAGGCAACUCAAAGAAGAAGAGCAGCAAGGUCCAGUACGACCGGGCAAAAUUGAUCAUUUCUAGUCUUUACUCUGUUCUUGUUACACAACAACGAGCAAAGAGGGGCAGCUGUAAUAGGCCAAUUUGCCCGGCCCACUUUGUUAAAGCAAAUAAAAAGGAAAAAAAACAAAAUAUUAAAGUUUAGCCCAAAUGUCCAUUUACAAACCCAAUACAGUAUAAACAUAACCCGAAUUACCCCAAUGCACCCCAGCCCAAUAGCCAACUCAGCCCAAAUGGCCCAGUUACAAUUGCCCGAUACCCCGG
rnacentral:lncRNA from 1 species